rnacentral:rRNA from 1 species
GCAUGCCGCAGGGAGCGCGGAGACAGGUGGUGCAUGGCUGUCGUCAGCUCGUGUCGUGAGAUGUUGGGUUAAGUCCCGCAACGAGCGCAACCCUCACCCCUUGUUGCCAYCAGGUCAUGCUGGGCACUCUAGGGGAACUGCCCCGGUCAACGGGGAGGAAGGYGGGGAUGACGUCAAGUCAUCAUGCCCCUUACGCCCUGGGCUACACACGUGCUACAAUGGCCGGUACAAAGGGAUGCAACRCCGCGAGGYAGAGCYAAACCCAAAAAGCCGGUCUAAGUUCAGAUUGGAGUCUGCAACUCGACUCCAUGAAGGAGGAAUCGCUAGUAAUCGCGUAUCAGCACGACGCGGUGAAUACGUUCCCGGGCCUUGUACACACCGCCCGUCACACCACRAAAGCCAGCUGUACUCRAAGUCGCUGAGA